UAUAAGAAAAUAAGAUGCAGUGGAAAACUCAUUUUUUCCCUUUUCUCUAAUCUUGCCACCUCACUAAAGUGGGGGUAAAUUUGGUCCAAAAUUUUCUUUUUCCAUCAAAACUACCAUAUUGAACCAAAUUGCUUGCUAUUUCUUAUACUUCCUUUCACUUUUUCAAUGACGAGAACCAGUUUUAAUGUAUUUUGUUCAAAACAAACUUAUUUAAUCCAACUUUUUAAACUUUCCUCUUUUUCCAAUGUCAGAUCACAUUACUUUUCUCUUUUCUCUCACUUUUCACUUCCCUCUUCUCUUGCUUCUCUCACUUCCAUAUUGAUCUUUUUCUUCAUCUUCCUAUAUUUCUUUCUUUUCUCUAUUUCAGUUUCAAGAAUAAUCUUCUUCUCAAAAAGUUUCUAUUCGCUUGUUAAGAGUUCUUCUUUUGAAUCUCUAAAUGAAUAUGGAAGGAUAUGAAGGAAGAAAUGGUGAAGAUUCAAGAGAUAUUGGAUGAACAAAAUGCAUCCAUUGAUGCUUCUAUGGUGCAUUUAGGAUUUAGUUUAUGCUUUUUGAUUUUAUGGAUUUAGUUUAUACCUUUUGAUUUUAUGGAUUUCAAUGAAGAAUCCUGUUUUUUGAAUCUUACUUUUUGAUGCUUUUUAAUUUUAUGGGUUUUGAUGUAGAAUCGUCGAAGGAGAUUAAGAUGUGAACUUUUUAUAGAUUGGUUAUGCACUAAAAAAGUUCUUUGACGAUGGUGUUGUUAGGCGCGAGAAGUUAUGGAUUACCUAGAAACUAUGGUAUAGUUUAUUAAUUUAUAUUUGUGAAAUUUUUCGGUAUUUUUAUGGAUGAUGGAAAAAAAUGUUACUUUGAGGUUGUAUUUAUUAACAUGAAUCAUCUGCUUUGUUUACUUUUUUUAGUUGUUCAGAUUAUAAUUCAGAAGGGGGAGAGAUAUUGGAGUAUUUAUGGAAUCUGUAAUGUGUUGGGUUAUUUGAAAUUGAUUGCAUAUUUAUGUUUGAUA